rnacentral:lncRNA from 10 species
CAGUCAAUGAAAUUUCCGGCCAAUGAAAUGCUCUACUGUGACUGAAGCAGCAAAGAGAAGAUGGGUGGCUUUGAAAUCAGAAUUGGAUGCAGAGGGAGUCCCAGAGGCCAACACUGUGAACAUAAGAAGGGAAAGACCAGUUCUGCAAGCACAGAUGUAAUUUUGAGAAGCAGAGCUACAGUUCUGCCGGAGGCCUCUCCAGAUUGUGAUGCACUGGGAGCAAGCCACCAUGAACAUAUCCUCAGGUCUCCAGUCUUCUGCCAUCGCAUGAAAAAUGGAGCUUGUCAAACACAGAGCAGAGCUGAACUUUCUGAAUUCCACAGGACAGUUCAGAGUGCUUGGAAUGACACCCACCUGCAAUUUAAACAAAAAAGAAGGAUGAGUAAGUGAGGAGCUAAAAAUUGCAUGUUUCCCUAAAUUAGAUUUAUUUGUAAGCUUUAAGUAAGUGCAAACAUAUUUCGAAUUAUCUGUUAUGAAUUGUGGUUUUGUUAUUAAAUAGACAUUUUGUUUAAUUCUU